AUUGAACGCUGGCGGAAUGCUUUACACAUGCAAGUCGAACGGUAGAGGGGGCAACCCCUCGAGAGUGGCGAACGGGUGAGUAAUAUAUCGGAACGUGCCCAGUCGUGGGGGAUAACGUAGCGAAAGUUACGCUAAUACCGCAUACGAUCUAAGGAUGAAAGCGGGGGAUCGCAAGACCUCGCGCGAUUGGAGCGGCCGAUAUCAGAUUAGGUAGUUGGUGGGGUAAAGGCUCACCAAGCCAACGAUCUGUAGCUGGUCUGAGAGGACGACCAGCCACACUGGAACUGAGACACGGUACAGACUCCUACGGGAGGCAGCAGUGGGGAAUUUUGGACAAUGGACGCAAGUCUGAUCCAGCCAUUCCGCGUGCAGGACGAAGGCCCUCGGGUUGUAAACUGCUUUUGUACGGAACGAAAAGGUCUCUCUUAAUACGGGGGACUCAUGACGGUACCGUAAGAAUAAGCACCGGCUAACUACGUGCCAGCAGCCGCCGUAA
rnacentral:rRNA from 1 species